UCUUGUCUGAGAAAUGCCAUAGACAGAGGAGCCUGGCAGGAUACAGUCCAGGGGGGAUUGAAAGGAACAUCCUUUCCUGACCAUGAGCUGACCUCAAGAACAGAGGAUCUGACUAAGAAGUCUGCAACAACUAACCAUACCCCUCCCUCCUCUUUCCUAUAAAAGGGCUUUGCUGAAAACUUUAUGGGAAUUUAGGAUUUUUAAAA